AGAUGUAGUCAGCGAUAGAGCUAUAGUUGUAGUCGACGACUGAGCCGGACAGGUGGAUCCCCUCCCCUGUCUCGGUAUCUCUCAACUUGGGACUUCUCCACCGUGGUAUGAGUUUUCCGCCUGCAUUGGCGGCUUGAUAUGGUUCAGGUGUCUAUGAGGCUAUUUUGAGGGUCAGCCAGAAAUAAAAGGGCAUAUGUAAAUGCAUAUUUGCUGGGUCUUUUUUGAUACUUUUGGUAAAAGAACCUUUUGUUUUCUAUAGCUAAAUAUUUUAUUAAGAUUGGGCAGGAAGACAAGGAGGAUGUUCUGUGGUCUUCCUUGGUUUACUGAUGGUGCUUCUUUGAUUGGGUUGGUGCAGGAUAGCGGCCAAGUUUCUUCUAUGUGUUGGUGAUAUUAGUCAUGUCCUCGAUGCUUGGAAGAUAUAUAGCGAUCUGUGGGGGUAGCAGCCAGAUUUCUGCGAGCUAGGCUUUGGAUGUCCAGGAGUUUCUUACACCCCAGCAUUAGUGUUCGUGGAGUCCAUCAUUGUUGCAGCUGGUAUAUUAUCUCGCAACAACCGAGAUGAACCAUUCUUCAUCGCUUUAGUGGCCUUAAGCAAGAUCCAUGUGCUUUCCCGUGGCUCCAUUCUUUGCUAUAUACAUCUCCUGGUAUGCCGUUCUUGAUGUUCUAGGAUUUAGUAGGUUGCUUCUUGUCUCAUCUUGUACCGGUCUCUGGUUCUGUGCUCUUCUGUUGUGUUGAGGUUGUUAUCUGUAGGGCCUUAUCUUCAUGUAUGGUUCCUAUUACGAGCUUAAGGGCAUGUUCGGGAAGCCUCCAGCUUCCCAAAAUCCUUAGAUCCAGCUCCGUCAGCCCAACUCCAGCGUCUGGACUGGAGUAGUAAACGUUCGGGACAGAUUCACUCUUUCUUUUUCUCGAUCGUCUUCCCCCAUUAUCACGGGAUUUCCAAUUCCUCUCACCACCAGAUAUUCCCUCCCAUCGAGUCAAGGUCGGAGGAGCCCUUCGAGGAGGAGAUCGAGGGAGCGGAGGCCGGAGAAGCUGUUGCAAGAGUCGAUCUUGGAGGAGGACGCCGGCAGGCUCGUGGAGGCGCGUGUGAAUUGGGCUGAGCUCGAGUGGAUGGGCUUGAUGACUGCUGCCAGGUGUGGCUCGGGCCUGGGUCGUUGAUGUAGAUGAUUCCAGUGGAUGCGGAAGGAGGCGGCGUCAGGUUGGAGGCCGGGAAGAGUAUGGAGGCCGCGGCGGGGGAGCUCGGGCGGACAGGCGGCUCCGGUGGCUCGGGCAGACGGCGAGCUCGGGUGGACGGACAGCUCCGACGGCUCGGGCGGACGGCCAGCUCCGGCGGCUCGGGCAGACGGCGAUGCCGGAGUGGAGGUGCGGCGGCGGCUCGGGAGCCUGUGGUGGUUAGGUUAAGGACGGGUCGGGAGCACUUGGCGUGGUGUGGGAGAGAGCCUCGCUCGGGGAAGGAAGGAAUCGAACCGAGCAGUUUUCUCACUUGGCGGUGGCAGAGCAUCGUAAUUAAUUGCUGCUCCGCACCGAGCAGCUCCGCGGAUCAGCGAAAUAGGUGCUCCGCGAAUUACACAGCCGAAUCGUCCCGCUCCGCGGAUCUGGCUCCGUGGAGUUGCCACGUUCGGUGCUGCUCCGGGCCGAAGCACCGCGGAUCUGGGAGCCGGAGGGUUGCCGAACACGCCCUAACUCGCUGGCACCAGCUGAAGAGCUUAUCUGUCCAAGAGACCAGGAGUGGAUGCGUUUGGGGAUCAUCCUGGUUGUGUAUUCUGAUCGGUUGAAUAUGGGUGUGGUAUGGAUGGAUGAAGGCGUAGAACAGGCGCAUCCCAGCCUUCUCUUACCCAAAUCUGUGAGGCAAGCAUCUUUCCAUCGUUUUAUGGAUUGAAGAAGGCGCACAAUGAGAUCGGUCCACCCUUCUCUUACCCGGAUCAGCCAAGGGAGCAUCCUUCCAUGACAACGGCCAAAUCAUGUACCGAUGACCUCUCGACGGCGUCGUAUACGUCUAGGUCAACACAUUCACCUCAGGGGUUAUCCUGAUGGAGCUGAGAAGCGGCUGAGCCUCACUCUUCAAAGAUACAAGAGAUGUGGUGAACUGCGUAAUGUAUUAUUCAUAGCUCAUGAUUAUACUGUUUGGGCCUGCUUGAUUAUGCACCGUUGGCCUGUUGUUAAACUUUUUUACUCGACUUAUGGCCUUUCUGAAGUUUUUUUUAAAGAUAUUGUGUUUAGACAUCACUCUGCUAUAAUUUGUGCUUAAUAUCUCCUUGAGUUCUAUUCCAUUU